GUCUGUAUUUGGAGACAUCUGAUGAAAUUGAAAUGGCACAAAGAACAUUAGCACAGCUCCUGUGCAAGGAUGAGAUGCGCAAACCAAGAAAUCGUUGGUUGAU